ACGAACGCUGGCGGCGUGCUUAACACAUGCAAGUCGAACGGUGAAGCGCCUUCCUUUUUGGUGGGUGUGGAUGAGUGGCGAACGGGUGAGUAACACGUGAGUAACCUGCCCCCUUCUUCUGGAUAACCGCAUGAAAGUGUGGCUAAUACGGGAUAUUCUGGGUCUGUCGCAUGAUGGGUCUGGGAAAGAUAUUGUUUCGGUGGGGGAUGGGCUCGCGGCCUAUCAGCUUGUUGGUGGGGUGAUGGCCUACCAAGGCGGUGACGGGUAGCCGGCCUGAGAGGGUGGACGGUCACACUGGGACUGAGACACGGCCCAGACUCCUACGGGAGGCAGCAGUGGAGAAUAGUGCACAAUGGGCGCAAGCCUGAUGCAGCGACGCCGCGUGAGGGAUGGAGGCCUUCGGGUUGUGAACCUCUUUCGCCAGUGAAGCAGGCCUGCCUCGUUUGUGGGUGGGUUGACGGUAGCUGGAUAAGAAGCGCCGGCUAACUACGUG
rnacentral:rRNA from 1 species